CAGAGAAGCUUGCUUCUCUUGAGAGCGGCGGACGGGUGAGUAAUGCCUAGGAAUCUGCCUGGUAGUGGGGGAUAACGUUCGGAAACGGACGCUAAUACCGCAUACGUCCUACGGGAGAAAGCAGGGGACCUUCGGGCCUUGCGCUAUCAGAUGAGCCUAGGUCGGAUUAGCUAGUUGGUGGGGUAAUGGCUCACCAAGGCGACGAUCCGUAACUGGUCUGAGAGGAUGAUCAGUCACACUGGAACUGAGACACGGUCCAGACUCCUACGGGAGGCAGCAGUGGGGAAUAUUGGACAAUGGGCGAAAGCCUGAUCCAGCCAUGCCGCGUGUGUGAAGAAGGUCUUCGGAUUGUAAAGCACUUUAAGUUGGGAGGAAGGGUUGUAGAUUAAUACUCUGCAAUUUUGACGUUACCGACAGAAUAAGCACCGGCUAA
rnacentral:rRNA from 1 species